rnacentral:rRNA from 1 species
UACAGAGGUCUCAAGCGUUGUUCGGAUUCAUUGGGCGUAAAGGGUGUGUAGGUGGCGCCGUAAGUCGGGUGUGAAAUUUCGGAGCUUAACUCCGAAACUGCAUUCGAUACUGCGGUGCUUGAGGACUGGAGAGGAGACUGGAAUUUACGGUGUAGCAGUGAAAUGCGUAGAUAUCGUAAGGAAGACCAGUGGCGAAGGCGGGUCUCGUGGACAGUUCCUGACACUGAGACACGAAGGCCAGGGGAGCAAACGGG